rnacentral:rRNA from 1 species
AACGCUGGCGGCAGGCCUAACACAUGCAAGUCGAGCGGCAGCACGGGUACUUGUACCUGGUGGCGAGCGGCGGACGGGUGAGUAAUACCUAGGAAUCUGCCUGGUAGUGGGGGAUAACGUCCGGAAACGGACGCUAAUACCGCAUACGUCCUACGGGAGAAAGCAGGGGACCUUCGGGCCUUGCGCUAUCAGAUGAGCCUAGGUCGGAUUAGCUAGUUGGUGAGGUAAUGGCUCACCAAGGCUACGAUCCGUAACUGGUCUGAGAGGAUGAUCAGUCACACUGGAACUGAGACACGGUCCAGACUCCUACGGGAGGCAGCAGUGGGGAAUAUUGGACAAUGGGCGAAAGCCUGAUCCAGCCAUGCCGCGUGUGUGAAGAAGGUCUUCGGAUUGUAAAGCACUUUAAGUUGGGAGGAAGGGCCGUUACCUAAUACGUGAUGGUUUUGACGUUANCGACAGAAUAANCNCCGGNUAACUCUGUGNCANCNGCCGCGGUANUACAGANGGUGCAAGCGUUAAUCGNAAUUACUGGG